AGUGAACGCUGGCGGUAGGCCUAACACAUGCAAGUCGAACGGCAGCACAGUAAGAGCUUGCUCUUACGGGUGGCGAGUGGCGGACGGGUGAGGAAUACAUCGGAAUCUACUUUUUCGUGGGGGAUAACGUAGGGAAACUUACGCUAAUACCGCAUACUACCUACGGGUGAAAGCAGGGGAUCUUCGGACCUUGCGCGAUUGAAUGAGCCGAUGUCGGAUUAGCUAGUUGGCGGGGUAAAGGCCCACCAAGGCGACGAUCCGUAGCUGGUCUGAGAGGAUGAUCAGCCACACUGGAACGGAGACACGGUCCAGACUCCUACGGGAGGCAGCAGUGGGGAAUAUUGGACAAUGGGCGCAAGCCUGAUCCAGCCAUACCGCGUGGGUGAAGAAGGCCUUCGGGUUGUAAAGCCCUUUUGUUGGGAAAGAAAAGCAGCAGGUUAAUACCCCGCUGUUCUGACGGUACCCAAAGAAUAAGCACCGGCUAACUUCGU
rnacentral:rRNA from 1 species